rnacentral:rRNA from 1 species
GAUGAACGCUGGCGGCGUGCCUAAUACAUGCAAGUCGAGCGAACGGACGAGAAGCUUGCUUCUCUGAUGUUAGCGGCGGACGGGUGAGUAACACGUGGAUAACCUACCUAUAAGACUGGGAUAACUUCGGGAAACCGUAGCUAAUACCGGAUAAUAUUUUGAACCGCAUGGUUCAAAAGUGAAAGGCGGUCUUGCUGUCACUUAUAGAUGGAUCCGCGCUGCAUUAGCUAGUUGGUAAGGUAACGGCUUACCAAGGCAACGAUGCAUAGCCGACCUGAGAGGGUGAUCGGCCACACUGGAACUGAGACACGGUCCAGACUCCUACGGGAGGCAGCAGUAGGGAAUCUUCCGCAAUGGGCGAAAGCCUGACGGAGCAACGCCGCGUGAGUGAUGAAGGUCUUCGGAUCGUAAAACUCUGUUAUUAGGAAAGAACAUAUGUGUAAGUAACUGUGCACAUCUUGACGGUACCUAAUCAGAAAGCCACGGCUAACUACGUG